ACUAUUGUGAAUUGUCUAUUUUCAUUUUUCAUUUAUUUAUAUAACAAUAGGAUUAGGAAGUAGGAAGUAGGAAGGAGUACUUACUACUAUCAGUUUUCAUGUUUAUUUCUUCUUCUGCCUAUACAUACAUCAUAUGCAAUCUUCCUUUUAACACAUUACUCUCUCUUUCUCUGCCUCUACAAUAUCUUCUUAUUCAUCUUAAGUUGUUAAGUGGUCGUGUUGAGGGCCAGAAAAUCCAUCUCACCAUUCAUUCUUCCAGCGGAAAUCUGGUAUUCUCUGCACGCAGCUGGAGACUAAUCUCUUAAGGUACAUUGUAACUACUAAUUAGCUAUCAUUACAUCUGACACAGUAAGGACUCCAAUACCUCCCAACUGAGACAACCCUGCAUAAAGAAUUAAGGCUCUUCUAGUUUAUUUUUACAUUGGUGGCUAGGGUGGACAGUAAAAAAAGCAUAGUGAUGAGAAAGUUGAAGGUUGGUUACCGAAAAUAACUCAGAUGAUAGAGACAUUGUAUAUAAUACACAGAGAUUUAGGUUUGAAUUUAGAUAUUUUACCUUUUUUUAGAGGUUUCGCUCAAGGUUUUAAAUUGCGGUCCGCAUCCGCAAUUGCGGCCGCAAUAUUGCUGACGCGGUAGCUUCCGCAACUGCAUCGCACCGCAAUUGCGGUGUGAUCCUAAUUCACGUGUACUGCCACA